rnacentral:tRNA from 1 species
GCCGAAAUAGCUCAGUUGGGAGAGCGUUAGACUAUAGGUCGAAUGUCACUGAUUCGAUCCCGGGUUUCGCCA